rnacentral:rRNA from 1 species
UGAGAGGACGNUCAGCCACACUGGCNNUGCGACNCGGGCCAGACUCCUACGGGAGGCAGCAGUAAGGAAUAUUGCGCAAUGGGCGACAGCCUGACGCAGCGACGCCGCGUGGGGGAUGAAGGUCUUCGGAUUGUAAACCCCUUUCGGCAGGGAAGAUGGAACGGGUAACCGUUCGGACGGUACCUGCAGAAGCAGCCACGGCUAACUUCGUGCCAGCAGCCGCGGUAAUACGAAGGUGGCAAGCGUUGUUCGGAUUUACUGGGCGUACAGGGAGCGUAGGCGGUUGGGUAAGCCCUUCGUGAAAUCUCCGGGCCUAACCCGGAAAGUGCGGAGGGGACUGCUCGGCUAGAGGAUGGGAGAGGAGCGCGGAAUUCCCGGUGUAGCGGUGAAAUGCGUAGAGAUCGGGAGGAAGGCCGGUGGCGAAGGCGGCGCUCUGGAACAUUUCUGACGCUGAGGCUCGAAAGCGUGGGGAGCAAACAGGAUUAGAUACCCUGGUAGUCCACGCCUUAAACGAUGGAUACUAAGUGUCGGCGGGUUACCGCCGGUGCCGCAGCUAACGCAGUAAGUAUCCCGCCUGGGAAGUACGGCCGCAAGGUUGAAA